rfam:Triticum urartu cultivar G1812 contig477028, whole genome shotgun sequence.
UAAAUACUCUCUCUGUCCAAAAAUUCUUGUCUUAGAUUUGUUUAGAUACGGUUGAUACAUCCGUAUCUAGACAAAUUUAAGACAAGAAUUUUGGGACGGAGGGAGUAUAAA